ACACAUGCAAGUCGAGGGGCAGCGGGAUUGAAGCUUGCUUCAAUUGCCGGCGACCGGCGCACGGGUGAGUAACGCGUAUCCAACCUUCCGUACACUCAGGGAUAGCCUUUCGAAAGAAAGAUUAAUACCUGAUGGUAUGAUGAGAUUGCAUGAUAGCAUCAUUAAAGAUUCAUCGGUGUACGAUGGGGAUGCGUUCCAUUAGGUAGUAGGCGGGGUAACGGCCCACCUAGCCUACGAUGGAUAGGGGUUCUGAGAGGAAGGUCCCCCACAUUGGAACUGAGACACGGUCCAAACUCCUACGGGAGGCAGCAGUGAGGAAUAUUGGUCAAUGGACGAGAGUCUGAACCAGCCAAGUAGCGUGAAGGAUGAAGGUCCUACGGAUUGUAAACUUCUUUUAUAAGGGAAUAAAACCUCCCACGUGUGGGAGCUUGUAUGUACCUUAUGAAUAAGCAUCGGCUAACUCCGUGCCAGCAGCCGCGGUAAUGCGGAGGAUGCGAGCGUUAUCCGGAUUUAUUGGGUUUAAAGGGAGCGCAGACGGGUCGUUAAGUCAGCUGUGAAAGUUUGGGGCUCAACCUUAAAAUUGCAGUUGAUACUGGCGUCCUUGAGUGCGGUUGAGGUGUGCGGAAUUCGUGGUGUAGCGGUGAAAUGUUUAGAUAUCACGAAGAACUCCGAUUGCGAAGGCAGCACACUAAGCCGUAACUGACGUUCAUGCUCGAAAGUGUGGGUAUCAAACAGGAUUAGAUACCCUGGUAGUCCACACGGUAAACGAUGGAUACUCGCUGUUGGCGAUAUACUGUCAGCGGCUUAGCGAAAGCGUUAAGUAUCCACCUGGGG
rnacentral:rRNA from 1 species